CAUUAGAUGGCUGAAAGUAAGUAAUAGUCUCUUAAACUAAUUAAUAUUAGAGUAACGUCUAUUUCUAAUGA
rnacentral:tRNA from 1 species